GUGUUUUUCUUCUUUGUAUAUUCUCAGGUGCUGGUUUCCUGAGCUUUCCUUCCCAUGGAAGGAGAAGACAGGAAGUUCUUCCUUAGCUGAGGAAUCAACACAGUGAUCCAAUUAGAUCCAGUAGCUGAGAUGGAUAGAAUGGUACUGUGUCCUCAACAUCACUAUUGAAAUAAAAUGAAUGAAGAAAAUAUUUUCUUCAGGCCAAAAAAAAAUGAUUAUGUUCUAUUGCAGUGGAAUUCAAAAGAAAAUUGACACAGAAUUCUUUGGCCAUCAGUCUCCAAAUGAUCUUUCACCUUUUAAUGGUAAGGUAGGUAGAAGAGGAUUAUCUCCACUAACAUUUUCUCACACUCAGGAAUUAGUUCAGGUUG
rnacentral:lncRNA from 1 species